GCAGUGGUAGCUCAGUGGUUAAAAUGUUAAACUUCUGAUCAGAAAGUUGUGAGUUCAAAUCCCAGCCCCUUCA